GUGCUCGCUUCGGCAGCACAUACACUGAAAAUGGAACAAUACAGUGAAGGUUAGCAUGUCCCCUGCAUAAGGAUGACACACAAAUUUGUGAAGCAUUUCAUAUUUUA